CCUACGGGUGGCAGCAGUGGGGAAUAUUGGACAAUGGGCGAAAGCCUGAUCCAGCCAUGCCGCGUGUGUGAAGAAGGCCUUCGGGUUGUAAAGCACUUUCAGUGGGGAAGAAAGCCUUGGGGCUAAUACCCUCGAGGAAGGACAUCACCCACAGAAGAAGCACCGGCUAACUCCGUGCCAGCAGCCGCGGUAAUACGGAGGGUGCGAGCGUUAAUCGGAAUUACUGGGCGUAAAGCGCGCGUAGGCGGUCUGAUAAGCCGGUUGUGAAAGCCCCGGGCUCAACCUGGGAACGGCAUCCGGAACUGUCAGGUUAGAGUGCAGGAGAGGAAGGUAGAAUUCCCGGUGUAGCGGUGAAAUGCGUAGAGAUCGGGAGGAAUACCAGUGGCGAAGGCGGCCUUCUGGACUGACACUGACGCUGAGGUGCGAAAGCGUGGGUAGCAAACAGGAUUAGAUACCCUGGUAGUC
rnacentral:rRNA from 1 species